ensembl:rRNA 5S_rRNA 5S ribosomal RNA
AGGCAGUACAGGCCACCCUGAACACACCUGAUCUCAUCUGAUCUUGGAAGCUAAGUAGGGUUGGGCCUAGUUAGUACUUGGAUGGGAGACAAGUGUAAUUUUAAUUGUCUAUUUGCUUU